rnacentral:rRNA from 1 species
AUACGAAGGGGGCUAGCGUUGUUCGGAAUUACUGGGCGUAAAGCGCGCGUAGGCGGAUUGGUCAGUUAGGGGUGAAAUCCCAGGGCUUAACCCUGGAACUGCCUCUAAUACUGCCAGUCUUGAGUUCGGGAGAGGUGAGUGGAAUUCCUAGUGUAGAGGUGAAAUUCGUAGAUAUUAGGAAGAACGCCAGUGGCGAAGGCGGCUCACUGGCCCGAUACUGACGCUGAGGCGCGAAAGCGUGGGGGGCAAACAGGAUUAGAAACCCUAGUAGUCC